UCUUCCAUGGAGAAAAAAAUAAAAAAAAACUAACAGGCAUGCAUCUUCCUUUUCAUCCCAAUCUUAAGAAAAAGGUAGAUUUGAACCACGUGGGUAUGUGAAGAUUUCGAUCAUCCCCAUGCUAUUGUAUCUACAACAUGCAAGGCGAAUGGUGUAACAAAAGCUUCUAAGCCCUUGCUGCUUUUUUAAGCAUGACUCUCUUUUUCUGCGCCUGGCUCUUCUUUUGUCGAACAGCAGGUAGCUAUCAGUCCCCAAAAACAACGACAGAAAGCGAUUUUUUUCCGCGUUGUUUUGAGGGUAAUUUACGGCGUGACGGCCACCCCAAAUAGAACAUAAAAAAAAAUUUUUUUUAGAAACUUCGCACCUGUAUUUUUUGGAGAGUGGGAGACAAGAAUCAUUUUUUACCUGUUUUUUUUUAUUUGGUGUCUAUUUUCGUUUUAGGGGGGAAUAAGGGGUUAAAAUAUUUGUUUAAAGUACCUCAGCGUGGUACUUUUCAAACAAAUGUCUGUUGUUCCUAAACUUGAUUUCUCAAUCAUUUUGUAACUCCACCCCUUAGUUAACAUAGACAUUUUGUGGCCAGACAGGAAACCAGAGUUAGUUGAAAGAUCAUUUUUAACAUACUUCAGAAAUUGAGAUAUGAAGUAGAAUACAUAUAGAGGAAAACAUAACGCUUGGAUACGGAGCAUAUUACAAGAAUUUAUUUUCAGAAUGGGAUGAUAUUUAAAAUUUUAAGUUUUUAUCUUGGGAAAACAAAAGAUGUCUGACCACCGUGGUAUAUAGGUAAUAUGAAUCUUAUAAUUUUAAUCUAUAAUCAUGGAAUUAUAAUAUUUUUAAAAACAGGAACAGAAGUUGUGUAGAUUACUUACGAAAGUCCCCAUUCAAUUUUAAUAUUAAUGAACUACCUCUCUUUUUAUAAUAACUCUUCACGUUAUUGCUACAUAAAUAUCAGUCGUUAAUGGGGAAGUAAAACAGCAAAUCAAAUAUUUUUAUCUG